rnacentral:misc_RNA from 1 species
GAUGAAGAACGUAGCGAAAUGCGAUAAGUAAUGUGAAUUGCAGAAUUCAGUGAAUCAUCGAAUCUUUGAACGCACAUUGCGCCCCUUGGUAUCCCGAGGGGCAUGCCUGUUCGAGCGUCAUUUCACCACUCAAGCCUGGCUUGGUGUUGGGCGACGUCCCCUUUGGGGACGCGCCUUGAAACGCUCGGCGGCGUGGCACCGGCUUUAAGCGUAGCAGAAUCUUUCGCUUUGGAAGUCGGGGCCCCGUCUGCCGGAAGACCUACUCGCAAGGUUGACCUCGGAUCAGGCAGGGAUACCCGCUGAACUUAAGCAUAUCAAUAAGCGGAGGA